GACGAACGCUGGCGGCGUGCUUAACACAUGCAAGUCGAACGGAAAGGCCCUGCUUUUGUGGGGUGCUCGAGUGGCGAACGGGUGAGUAACACGUGAGUAACCUGCCCUUGACUUUGGGAUAACUUCAGGAAACUGGGGCUAAUACCGGAUCGGAGCUCCUGCUGCAUGGUGGGGGUUGGAAAGAUUCGGCGGUUGGGGAUGGACUCGCGGCUUAUCAGCUUGUUGGUGGGGUAGUGGCUUACCAAGGCUUUGACGGGUAGCCGGCCUGAGAGGGUGACCGGCCACAUUGGGACUGAGAUACGGCCCAGACUCCUACGGGAGGCAGCAGUGGGGAAUAUUGCACAAUGGGCGGAAGCCUGAUGCAGCAACGCCGCGUGCGGGAUGACGGCCUUCGGGUUGUAAACCGCUUUCGCCUGUGACGAAGCGUGAGUGACGGUAAUGGGUAAAGAAGCACCGGCUAACUACGUG
rnacentral:rRNA from 1 species